rnacentral:rRNA from 1 species
CUUAACACAUGCAAGUCGAGGGGCAGCAUGGUCUUAGCUUGCUAAGGCCGAUGGCGACCGGCGCACGGGUGAGUAACACGUAUCCAACCUGCCGUCUACUCUUGGACAGCCUUCUGAAAGGAAGAUUAAUACAAGAUGGCAUCAUGAGUCCGCAUGUUCACAUGAUUAAAGGUAUUCCGGUAGACGAUGGGGAUGCGUUCCAUUAGAUAGUAGGCGGGGUAACGGCCCACCUAGUCUUCGAUGGAUAGGGGUUCUGAGAGGAAGGUCCCCCACAUUGGAACUGAGACACGGUCCAAACUCCUACGGGAGGCAGCAGUGAGGAAUAUUGGUCAAUGGGCGAGAGCCUGAACCAGCCAAGUAGCGUGAAGGAUGACUGCCCUAUGGGUUGUAAACUUCUUUUAUAAAGGAAUAAAGUCGGGUAUGGAUACCCGUUUGCAUGUACUUUAUGAAUAAGGAUCGGCUAACUCCGUGCCAGCAGCCGCGGUAAUACGGAGGAUCCGAGCGUUAUCCGGAUUUAUUGGGUUUAAAGGGAGCGUAGAUGGAUGUUUAAGUCAGUUGUGAAAGUUUGCGGCUCAACCGUAAAAUUGCAGUUGAUACUGGAUAUCUUGAGUGCAGUUGAGGCAGGCGGAAUUCGUGGUGUAGCGGUGAAAUGCUUAGAUAUCACGAAGAACUCCGAUUGCGAAGGCAGCCUGCUAAGCUGCAACUGACAUUGAGGCUCGAAAGUGUGGGUAUCAAACAGGAUUAGAUACCCUGGUAGUCCACACGGUAAACGAUGAAUACUCGCUGUUUGCGAUAUACUGCAAGCGGCCAAGCGAAAGCGUUAAGUAUUCCACCUGGGGAGUACGCCGGCAACGGUGAAACUCAAAGGAAUUGACGGGGGCCCGCACAAGCGGAGGAACAUGUGGUUUAAUUCGAUGAUACGCGAGGAACCUUACCCGGGCUUAAAUUGCAGAUGAAUUACGGUGAAAGCCGUAAGCCGCAAGGCAUCUGUGAAGGUGCUGCAUGGUUGUCGUCAGCUCGUGCCGUGAGGUGUCGGCUUAAGUGCCAUAACGAGCGCAACCCUUGUUGUCAGUUACUAACAGGUUCCGCUGAGGACUCUGACAAGACUGCCAUCGUAAGAUGUGAGGAAGGUGGGGAUGACGUCAAAUCAGCACGGCCCUUACGUCCGGGGCUACACACGUGUUACAAUGGGGGGUACAGAGGGCCGCUACCACGCGAGUGGAUGCCAAUCCCCAAAACCUCUCUCAGUUCGGACUGGAGUCUGCAACCCGACUCCACGAAGCUGGAUUCGCUAGUAAUCGCGCAUCAGCCACGGCGCGGUGAAUACGUUCCCGGGCCUUGUACACACCGCCCGUCAAGCCAUGGGAGCCGGGGGUACCUGAAGUGCGUAACCGCGAGGAGCGCCCUAGGGUAAAACUGGUGACUGGGGCUAAGUAG